rnacentral:rRNA from 15 species
AGCCAAGCGAUGGGGUGACGCAGGAAGGUAGCUGGGCCAGUUGGUGGUUGUACUGGUGUAAGAGUGUAGGCCGUGGCAUAGGUAAAUCCGUGUCACAUGCAGGCUGAGACUUGAUGCAUACCCGUUGUGGGGAAUUCAGUGAUCCUAUGCUGCCGAGAAAAGCCUCUAGUGAGUUCAUGCACGGCCCGUACCCCAAACCAACACAGGUGGUCAGGUAGAGAAUACCAAGGCGAUCGAGAGAACUGUGGUUAAGGAAUUCGGCAAAAUACCCCCGUAACUUUGGGAGAAGGGGGACCAUGCCCGGUGAACAUCUUUCACGGUGGGAGCUGGGUGUGGUCGCAGAGACCAGAGAGAAGCGACUGUUUACUAAAAACACAGGUCCGUGCGAAGACGUAAGUCGAGGUAUACGGACUGACGCCUGCCCGG